AUUGAACGCUGGCGGCAGGCCUAACACAUGCAAGUCGAACGGUAACAGGAAGAAGCUUGCUUCUUUGCUGACGAGUGGCGGACGGGUGAGUAAUGUCUGGGAAACUGCCUGAUGGAGGGGGAUAACUACUGGAAACGGUAGCUAAUACCGCAUAACGUCGCAAGACCAAAGAGGGGGACCUUCGGGCCUCUUGCCAUCGGAUGUGCCCAGAUGGGAUUAGCUAGUAGGUGGGGUAACGGCUCACCUAGGCGACGAUCCCUAGCUGGUCUGAGAGGAUGACCAGCCACACUGGAACUGAGACACGGUCCAGACUCCUACGGGAGGCAGCAGUGGGGAAUAUUGCACAAUGGGCGCAAGCCUGAUGCAGCCAUGCCGCGUGUAUGAAGAAGGCCUUCGGGUUGUAAAGUACUUUCAGCGGGGAGGAAGGGAGUAAAGUUAAUACCUUUGCUCAUUGACGUUACCCGCAGAAGAAGCACCGGCUAACUCCGUGCCAGCAGCCGCGGUAAUACGGAGGGUGCAAGCGUUAAUCGGAAUUACUGGGCGUAAAGCGCACGCAGGCGGUUUGUUAAGUCAGAUGUGAAAUCCCCGGGCUCAACCUGGGAACUGCAUCUGAUACUGGCAAGCUUGAGUCUCGUAGAGGGGGGUAUAAUUCCAGGUGUAGCGGUGAAAUGCGUAGAGAUCUGGAGGAAUACCCGGUGGCGAAAGCGGCCCCCUGGACAAGACUGACGCUCAAGGUGGGAAAGCGUGGGGAGCCAACUGGAUUAAGAUACCCUGGUAAUCCAAGGGGGAAUCCCCAGGGGAUUCGAGCCGUCGCUACCCCCCCCUGGGGUUGGGAACAAGAGAAAAAAUUAUGUACCUUUUCAGAGAAAAUAAA
rnacentral:rRNA from 1 species